AACUGCGAGUGAAGCGGGAAAAGCUCAAAUUUAAAAUCUAAUGGUCCUUGGCCAUUCGAGUUGUAAUUUAGAGAAGCGUCUUCCGCGCCAGACCAUGUACAAGUCUCCUGGAACGGAGCGUCAUAGAGGGUGAGAAUCCCGUCUUUGACAUGGACCCUUGGUGCUUCUGUGAUGCGCUCUCAAAGAGUCGAGUUGUUUGGGAAUGCAGCUCAAAAUGGGUGGUGAACUCCAUCUAAGGCUAAAUAUUGGCGAGAGACCGAUAGCGAACAAGUACCGUGAGGGAAAGAUGAAAAGCACUUUGGAAAGAGAGUGAAACAGUACGUGAAAUUGUUGAAAGGGAAACACUUGAAGUCAGUCGCGUCGAUCGAGACUCAGCCUUGCCUCGGCUUGGCGUACUUCUCGACUUGACGGGCCAGCAUCAAUUUCGUCCCUCGGAUAAUGGCAGGGGAAAGGUGGCACCUUCACGGGUGUGUUAUAGUCUCUUGUCGCAUGCGAGGGGUGGGAUUGAGGAACUCAGCACGCACCUCACGGUGUCGGGGCUUCGGCCC
rnacentral:rRNA from 1 species